CUUGCUGAAGGGCGCACAUGCAGUUACUGAGACUGUUGUCAUCUCAUGCCAUUGUUACCUACUCUCUGUUCCAGACUGCUCUCAAAGUGGCUUGUUUUACUCUUCAACCUUAGGAAAGUGCAAAGUAAUUGUCAUGCCUGGUAAUAUGAAGUAUCAAACUUAGUGGAAGAGUUUGAAAGAAAGGUAUCUGAAGCCCGUUGGCCUCCCAUUAUUUCAUUACAACACAGUGUCUCUAAACAGUCCAGCCAUAGUCUCCAAAUCUUAAACUUACCUUUCUUAUCUGCUCAGAGGAUACAGAGAGCAGGGAAUCCAUCUCCCGUCAAGGAAAGAAGAAUCAGUAUGGCUCAGAUAUGGACAGAUCCAUCUGGCUUCCCUGAAACCUGAAACAAAGACAAGAAAGAAGUCAGUGGAAGGGAAUAAAGACACACUUCAGGAAUCUUAAGCCUACACUUUGUGCACUGUACUGAGUUCAGAGAAGCAGUGUGCUUAUUCCUGUGAUGACAAAUGAAGAUUAAAUGAAGGUAUUCACCAGACAAUUCCUCCAGUGUUCCCUGAUCUGAAAUAUGUGCUGAACAUUGUGGAAGUUGGGUUAGCACUUCUGGCUCAGUGGAAGGAAAGCCUGCAGCUCUGGCAGCAUCAAGGAGAUAAACAAAACCAAGUCUUGAACAUCCUCACUUUCAGGCCCAUGCUUCCAGAUUGGCUGAAGACUUGCAUGGAACCUGUCCCCGUGCUGAGAUCUGUGUUAGCCAUGGAGAAAGAGCAACAUGAAGCUCUGGUGUCUGGCACUGGGUGCAACCUGGAGCUUCCCUGCAGCUUCUGAGACUCUCAAAUUUUUUGGUGCUCUAUUGGCACUUAGAGCUAUGACACUCUGCACAAGCAGAAAGCUUGUUUUAAUAAAAAAUAUGGAUGAUAGGUUUAAUCUUC